GGAUGACGUCAAGUCAUCAUGGCCCUUACGACCAGGGCUACACACGUGCUACAAUGGCGCAUACAAAGAGAAGCGACCUCGCGAGAGCAAGCGGACCUCAUUAAGUGCGUCGUAGUCCGGAGUGGAGUCUGCAACUCGACUCCAGAAGUCGGAAUCGCUAGUAAUCGUGGAUCAGAAUGCCACGGUGAAUACGUUCCCGGGCCUUGUACACACCGCCCGUCACACCAUGGGAGUGGGUUGCA
rnacentral:rRNA from 1 species